rnacentral:rRNA from 1 species
GAUGAACGCUGGCGGCGUGCUUAACACAUGCAAGUCGAACGAAGCACUUUAUUUGAUUUCCUUCGGGACUGAUUAUUUUGUGACUGAGUGGCGGACGGGUGAGUAACGCGUGGGUAACCUGCCUUGUACAGGGGGAUAACAGUUGGAAACGGCUGCUAAUACCGCAUAAGCGCACGGCAUCGCAUGAUGCAGUGUGAAAAACUCCGGUGGUAUAAGAUGGACCCGCGUUGGAUUAGCUAGUUGGUGAGGUAACGGCCCACCAAGGCGACGAUCCAUAGCCGACCUGAGGGGGGGACCGGCCACAUUGGGACUGAGACACGGCCCAAACUCCUACGGGAGGCAGCAGUGGGGAAUAUUGCACAAUGGGCGAAAGACUGAUGCAGCGACGCCGCGUGAGCGAAGAAGUAUUUCGGUAUGUAAAGCUCUAUCAGCAGGGAAGAUAAUGACGGUACCUGACUAAGAAGCACCGGCUAAAUACGUG